CAGCCGCCGCGGUAAUACGUAGGGCGCAAGCGUUGUCCGGAAUUAUUGGGCGUAAAGAGCUCGUAGGCGGUCUGUCGCGUCUGGUGUGAAAUCCCGAGGCUCAACCUCGGGCUUGCAUCGGGUACGGGCAGACUAGAGUGCGGUAGGGGAGACUGGAAUUCCUGGUGUAGCGGUGGAAUGCGCAGAUAUCAGGAGGAACACCGAUGGCGAAGGCAGGUCUCUGGGCCGCAACUGACGCUGAGGAGCGAAAGCAUGGGGAGCGAACAGGAUUAGAUACCCCGGUAGUCCCUGUCUCUUAUAA
rnacentral:rRNA from 1 species